rnacentral:rRNA from 1 species
UACGGGGGGGGCAAGCGUUGUUCGGAAUUACUGGGCGUAAAGGGCUCGUAGGCGGCCAACUAAGUCAGACGUGAAAUCCCUCGGCUUAACCGGGGAACUGCGUCUGAUACUGGAUGGCUUGAGUUUGGGAGAGGGAUGCGGAAUUCCAGGUGUAGCGGUGAAAUGCGUAGAUAUCAGGAGGAACACCCGUAGCGAAGGCGGCACUCUGGGCCGAUUCUGACACUGAGGAGCGAAAGCGUGGGGAGCGAACAGG